rnacentral:rRNA from 1 species
AUUGGGCGUAAGAGCUCGUAGGCGGUUUGUCGCGUCUGCCGUGAAAGUCCGGGGCUCAACUCCGGAUCUGCGGUGGGUACGGGCAGACUAGAGUGAUGUAGGGGAGACUGGAAUUCCUGGUGUAGCGGUGAAAUGCGCAGAUAUCAGGAGGAACACCGAUGGCGAAGGCAGGUCUCUGGGCAUUAACUGACGCUGAGGAGCGAAAGCAUGGGGAGCGAACAGGAUUAGAUACCCUGGUAGUCCAUGCCGUAAACGUUGGGCACUAGGUGUGGGGGACAUUCCACGUUUUCCGCGCCGUAGCUAACGCAUUAAGUGCCCCGCCUGGGGAGUACGGCCGCAAGGCUAAAACUCAAAGGAAUUGACGGGGGCCCGCACAAGCGGCGGAGCAUGCGGAUUAAUUCGAUGCAACGCGAAGAACCUUACCAAGGCUUGACAUGAACCGGUAAUACCUGGAGACAGGUGCCCCGCUUGCGGUCGGUUUACAGGUGGUGCAUGGUUGUCGUCAGCUCGUGUCGUGAGAUGUUGGGUUAAGUCCCGCAACGAGCGCAACCCUCGUUCUAUGUUGCCAGCACGUGAUGGUGGGGACUCAUAGGAGACUGCCGGGGUCAACUCGGAGGAAGGUGGGGACGACGUCAAAUCAUCAUGCCCCUUAUGUCUUGGGCUUCACGCAUGCUACAAUGGCCGGUACAAAGGGUUGCGAUACUGUGAGGUGGAGCUAAUCCCAAAAAGCCGGUCUCAGUUCGGAUUGGGGUCUGCAACUCGACCCCAUGAAGUCGGAGUCGCUAGUAAUCGCAGAUCAGCAACGCUGCGGUGAAUACGUUCCCGGGCCUUGUACACACCGCCCGUCAAGUCACGAAAGUUGGUAACACCCGAAGCCGGUGGCCUAACCCCUUGUGGGAGGGAGCUGUCGAAGUGGGACUGCCGAUUGGGACGAAGUCGUACAGGGUAACC